rnacentral:snRNA from 1 species
GUGCUCACUUCGGCAGCACAUAUACUAAAAUUGGAAUGAUACAGAAAAGAUUAGCAUGGCCCCUGUGCAAGGAUGACAUACAAAUUCAUGAAGCGUUCCAUAUUUUU